GGCACCACACAAUCCAAGGAUCAUCAGUGACUGAGACUAUAUAUAACGUUCUAGAAACUGCAAAAACUAAGCAAGAGCAGAACUUGGGUUGUCCAUGAAACAUUGACCAUUCAGCCUCCACACAGGUGUUUGUAAUAUAACAGGGUUAUUAGACUGGAAGAUAAUAGGGUUCCUUAAGCAGAGACCUAAACACAGGUCUGCUGCAGGGAUUUCCCCCUAAUCUAAGGGAAGAAAAGGGAGAACAUUAUCUGAAUGUGGGGCUGUGUUUAAACAGGACACAGUUAAUUCACUGUGCCUGAACAGUACCUUAAAUAGGAGACUACUGGUUACCCCCCGAUUCAGACUUUGUUUAUUGCAGUAUAGUCCCUUAACAGGGCUAGCCAAAGCCAUUUUGCUUUCUGAGACAAAGGACAAAAUGGCACCCUCCCCCAUUCUACAAGCAGAAGAUGUGUCAUGGGCCAGGAGUCAGCUUUGCCUGCUGAACAACAGCCUGAAGGGGGAGAAAGCGGAAUGACUCCACCUGCAACUGAUCAGCCUUCAAGGACACAGAGGAGAAUGUGCUGAUGAGAAACAGCUGGCUUCAGGCUUCUUAAAGCAGAGCUUCCAGAAGCAGUCAGAUACCGGUAACAACAAUUGGAGUUCUGGGCCCUACCUUGCUGCUUCCUGGUUGUUUUGACCCUGGACCCCCUGAUCAUUGGAUUCCCUGACUCCUGGACUGUCUGAUCACAUAGAUUGCUGUUCACCCAACCCUAGGACUGGACCAGACUUUGGAUGCUGUCUCUGUCUCCAGAAUCAGUACCUUCAAGAACCGCAGCUUAGUUUCCAGUUCCAUCCGCUUCAUUAUAAAGGACUCAUUCACAGUAUCUAACCUGCCAAUAGAUCUGGUUUCUAGACGGCUCACCAUCCCGUGAUCAUGCUCCAGUCAACAUCCCUCUUAAAAUUUGGUGCCCAAAUAGACAUGGUACUACAGAUGCAGCAUGACCAGCGCAA